UAGUGGCCACAAUGGCUGUGGCCCUCACUUCUGCACUGUGCAGAGGGCCCUAGGGGCCCUGGCCUCUGGGCCUGAGCUCAAGGCCACCACGGUAGUGUCCCAUCAGAAACGUAUGACAUCCUGCUGCUCCUGCUCCAUCCCGAGGUGGCAUCCCCCAGUUUUCUGGGUGUACACAUCCAUCUCCUAAGCUUGGCUGGUGGGCGUCUGCCCAGAUGAGGGGGCCAAGGACCCAACUCUGCACAACAGCAAAUGCAUUCAGGGAGGGCCACUGGGACCUCCAGGAGCUGCUGAGAUACGACCCAAGUCCCAGGCGUGUGCAGGACUCAUGGGGCCAGAGGCAUAAUUUCACUCUUGUUGCCCAGGCUGGAGUGCAAUGGUGUGUGUGAUCUCAGCUCACUGCAACCUCCACCUCCCCGGUUCAAGCAAUUCUCCUGCCUCAACCUCCCAAGUAGCUGCGAUUACAGAUGCAGCUGGAAUCAAAGUCCCACCAAGGGGAGGAGACAGGGACCCCAAAGGCACCUGCUAUCUUUAUCAAUAGAGAACAGACAAUAAUGGGACACCAGUGCUGUGGAAUGGUGUGCAGGCGUUUGAAGGAGGGAGGUCAGGCCACACAGGCUGUCCUGGAAAGGCAUCCAGCCUGGGCGACAGAGCGAGACUCCGACUCAAAAAAAGAAGUCCUGGGGCAUCUGCAGAAAUAGCUGUGGACCAACUACAGGAGGAGCAGAAAACAACAAGAGUUGCUGAGGAUGUGGAGCAAUUGGAACCCUUAUGCACUUGUGCGCUGUCAUCGGGAAUGCAAAAUGGCAUCACUAGAAUGGAAAACAGCACAGCAGUUCCUCCAAAAAUUAAAAAUAGAAUUAUCAUAUGAUCCAGCAAUUCCACUUCUGGGCAUAUACCCAAAAGAUUUGAAAGCAGGAACUUGAAGAGAUAUUUAUACACCCAUGUUCAUAGCAGCAUCUUUAGCAAAAGCCAAAAGGUGGAAACAACCCAUUCAUCUGUCCAUUGGCAGAUGAAUGGAUAAACAAAACGUAGUAUAUACAUAAAAUGGAAUAUUAUUCUGCCUUAAAAAGGAAGGAGAUUAUGACAUAUGCUGCAAAGCAAAUGAAGCCUGAGGAUAUUAUGGUAAGUGAAAUAAGUCACAAAAGGACAAAUAUGGUAAGAGAUACCUAGAGUAAUCAGAUUCAUAGAGACAGAAAGUAGAAUGGUAGUGGCCUGGGCCUGGGGGAGAGAAAU